UACGGAGGGGGCAAGCGUUGUUCGGAAUUACUGGGCGUAAAGGGCGCGUAGGCGGCCCGCUAAGUCAGACGUGAAAUCCCUCGGCUCAACCGGGGAACUGCGUCUGAUACUGGCAGGCUUGAAUCCGGGAGAGGGAUGUGGAAUUCCAGGUGUAGCGGUGAAAUGCGUAGAUAUCUGGAGGAACACCGGUGGCGAAGGCGGCAUCCUGGACCGGUAGUUGACGCUGAGGCGCGAAAGCCAGGGGAGCAAAGCGGG
rnacentral:rRNA from 1 species